rnacentral:tRNA from 1 species
GCGCCCGUAGUUCAUUGGCAGAACAAUUGUCUUAUAAACAAUAGGCAGAUGGUUCGAUUCCAUCCGGGCGCA